UUGAGAAACAAAAAACUCAAACGUAUUAGGACUAUACGAGCCUCAAUAAAUAGCCAAACAAAAUGCCACACGCCGCAUAACGAACAAUCCACGUGCCAGUACAAUAUUUGCUAAUUCGCAUUUGUAAUGAAGUCUUACUACGCGAUAAACAGAACGCUUGAAAGCCUGCCGGUUGCCGUAAUGGAAUCAGUAAUAUAAAUGCGAUUGAAGCCGUAAUAAUAAUAGAAUAGUUCAGGCAAUGCAUCGGACUCAAUAAAUGCAAUACAAGCAAAUGUAAUAAAGGUAAAUGCAAUCAAUUUCAAUGCCACUGCAGCAACAGCGACGGCGACAGCGACUUGGUUUUUCCUGGCGGAAAAUUAUAUAGAAAGAAAAAAACUGCCUUCAUAACAAGAAAGAGCAGUGCUAUUCGAACAUUUCAGGUAUAGUCACCUCGACCUUAAUGAAUGAUGCACGUCAUGUACUCUCCACACCUUGGAGAGACAAUCUUGUAUAGAAGUAUAUAGAUGCAGAUGUGACUAUCUUUAUAUAGUUCUGGAAGUCUCUGAGCACAAAGUGAACAAAACCACAAGCGGAAAUCAAGUGGAGAGGAUACUUUAUAACAAAAAACUAUAUUCGAAAGCUUUGUAGCACUCAAGCAAACAGUGUGAAGCAGCUUAAAGUCCAAAGUUAAUACUAAAUCUUAUCUCAUUAUACAACAAAA